rnacentral:tRNA from 2 species
ACGGGCAUAGUUCAAUGGUAGAAUAGAGGUCUCCAAAACCUUUGAUCUGGGUUCGAAUCCUGGUGCCCGUGCAA